rnacentral:misc_RNA from 1 species
AGAGAGAGAGAGAGAUGGCCAACUCUUCCUUGAUGGCCAAUGCCACAAGUAAAGAAGCCUCUAUGGCUUAAGUAGGUUUUCAAUGUAGUUACUAGAAAGGGAAUUUUUUAGUCCUCUUUCCAAUAGAAAGUUUACAUGUAUAAAAUCAAAAAUUAAUUUUACUACAUAACAGUAAAUACAUCAGUGCUAAAUCCAUCAUACACCACCUUUUUUCCCAUUUUUCACUCUCCAAGAGCAAUCAAAGGCAGCCAAAAGAAAACUAAUUCCAAAGAUCUCAUUACAUUUAAUCCCAAUCUCAAGACAAUGCAAUGUUGCUGUUUAAUGGUAUAGACUAAAUUCAUAUGCUACUCAUAUGUUUCACAGAUAAAUUGUAUAAUUCAGUCCUUCAUGAUCUAAUAAGAGAUUACCUAACAAUUUACCUGAGAGAGAGAGAGAGAGAGA